GACGAACGCUGGCGGCGUGCCUAAUACAUGCAAGUCGAACGAGUGGCGGACGGGUGAGUAAUGUCUGGGAAACUGCCUGAUGGAGGGGGAUAACUACUGGAAACGGUAGCUAAUACCGCAUACCAUCGGAUGUGCCCAGAUGGGAUUAGCGAGUAGGUGGGGUAAAGGCUCACCUAGGCGACGAUCCCUAGCUGGUCUGAGAGGAUGACCAGUCACACUGGAACAGAGAGACGGUCCAGACUCCUCCGGGAGGCAGCAGUGGGGAAUUUUGCCCAAUGGGCGCAAGCCUGAUGCAGCCAUGCCGCGUGUAUGAAGAAGGCCUUCGGGUUGUAAAGUACUUUCAGCGGGGAGGCGUUACCCGCAGAAGAAGCACCGGCUAACUCCGUGCCAGCAGCCGCGGUAAUAC
rnacentral:rRNA from 1 species